AGCGCUGCCUGAGAUCGUGUCGGCGAUAGGCGGUCGCCUGGAGAUCUACCUGGACAGCGGAGUCCGCAGCGGCGCUGAUGUGGUCAAGGCACUCAGUCUCGGAGCCCGGGCGGUGUUCGUGGGCAGACCGGCCAUCUGGGGCCUCACUUACAAUGGCAAACAAGGCGUGGACAGAGUUCUUGAAAUACUAAGGACUGAGCUUGAGCACACAAUCAAGUUGUUGGGUUGCAAGAACUCAAGCAGCCUCAACUCGGAGUUCGUGGUUCACAAGAACCACUACGCCAGGACCACGUGGAGAAACUUUCCGCGCCAAGACCUGUGAACGGAAAUCACGAAGACGGGCCGGGCCGCAAAGGGAUCUCCGGCGAGGCCCAGUCAUCGCCAACUAAAGAGUUGUGAGACACAUAUGCACGCACAAAACAACAGUUCAAAGAAACGAAUCACAUUCAUCUGAAUCAGGAGCGGAGUGUCCUUGAAGAGAUAGCAGAGAAGUGGAAAGGCAGAAAUGGACGAAUAGAAUAAUGGGUUCAGAGGUAGGUUAACUCCGUUCGGGUCCCAGAUUUUAGCAACAUCUUCACAUGGUAUAGUUGUCGUCUCAGAAGGUAAUAGGGUGUAACAAAAAGCCAUUUUAUAUAUUUGUUCCACUUGAUUUCAGUAAAAAUCAAUACAGAUUUUAUCUCGGUGUUAUUGUGCUUUCUUUACU